rnacentral:rRNA from 1 species
AUUGAACGCUGGCGGCAUGCCUUACACAUGCAAGUCGAACGGUAACGGGCCUUCGGGUGCCGACGAGUGGCGGACGGGGGCGUAAUACAUCGGAACGUGCCCGAACGUGGGGGAUAACGAGGCGAAAGCUUUGCUAAUACCGCAUACGAUCUACGGAUGAAAGCAGGGGACCGCAAGGCCUUGCGCGGACGGAGCGGCCGAUGGCAGAUUAGGUAGUUGGUGGGAUAAAAGCUUACCAAGCCGACGAUCUGUAGCUGGUCUGAGAGGAUGAUCAGCCACACUGGAACUGAGACACGGCCCAGACUCCUACGGGAGGCAGCAGUGGGGAAUUUUGGACAAUGGGCGCAAGCCUGAUCCAGCCAUGCCGCGUGCAGGAUGAAGGCCUUCGGGUUGUAAACUGCUUUUGUACGGAACGAAAAGCCUUCUUUUAAUACAGGGGGGUCAUGACGGUACCGUAAGAAUAAGCACCGGCUAACUACGUG